CAGUGUGACCCAGUUCAAUAGCUGUCUCAGGACAACUGUGAGGGAGUGACAAGCCAUGGCAUGUGCGUGGGAAUGAUGUUGCCACCAGAGCUCUGAUUUCCACAUCACAACCCAGUCAGUUGAGGAUGGGAAGCCCUCCUCUUAAGACUGGAUGUUUUGUCAAGCUUAAGCUUCUACAGAGCCACAGGUUACCAUGGCUAAUAUUUGAGGACUGGGAAUACAAACAGAAGAUCCAAAUAUGCUCCUGCUCCCUGGCCUCCUGUAAUAUCAAGACUGCAGUAUAAGAGAUGUCAUUGAAUGUGACUGUGGGUGGAACGCAUGGGGUAUGUAAUGGUAUGAUUUGGGUAUACUGUAGUACAAAUAAUAUGCAGUGUGCUAGGUGCAGCAAGGAAUGCUUCUCUGUUAGCUUCUGAAAGUGUACGUUCUGAUGUGUGAAGAAUAUCACAUCUGAAAAAUGCCAUGACUGACAGUGAGCACGAGGAAUGAUGGUGCUGUCUCACCAAUCAAGAUGAAAGGUUAACAAAUAGAGUAAUAGGAAAAAAUUGUUCCAGUCUUUGCAGGUCAUCCUCAAUAACUCUACUUCUGUGAUUUGCUUGCUGUUGUUAUAUAUGCUAGAACACAUCAUAUGCUGUCUGUUAACCACGCUAGGAAUGUCCCAGGCCCUUGUAGUCUUUUUUCAUGUCUAUCUCGGAAAAUCCUCCAAAUACUCUUCCCUUUGAAUUAAUUCCUCACUGCCUCUGUUUGCCUGGAAUGUGAGUGAUAUGAACUGAGCUACUGACUCAUCGAUGCGCUAUGCAGAGAGGGCAUUUUUGAUUUUAUUUUUAUUGCUUGUCACUCGAGGUCACUCCCUCAACUAUUACUUUCUGGUUAAAUAAAUCCUCUGA